GUAUUUUUAAAUUCUCUGUUUUAGAGCAAUUUUGCAGAAUAUAACUGUUAACCAGCCUCAAAGAUGGCCCCCAACAAUCCCUAUCUCCUAGAAUUCACGUCAUUUCAUAGUCUUCUCCUGCCCUGUACCAGGGCUAAUUUACUGUGUGAGUAAUAGAAUAUGACAGCAGUGAUGAUAUGCCAUUUCUGAGAUUAAGUUAUAAAAGUCUUUGUGUCUUCUGUCUUGUUUGUUCUUUUGUAUCAUUUGCAAUGGGGAAGCUAACGUUACGUUUUAAGCACCACCUUGGAGAAGUCCAUGUGGUAAGGAACUGAGGCCUCCAGCCAACAGCCACAUGAGUGAUCUGGGAAACAGUUCCUCUACCUCAGUCAAGCCUUCAGAUGACUGCAGUCCCAAUAACAUUUUUACUGCAACUUCAUGACCCUGAGCUGCAGAUUAGCCACUCCCAGAUCUCUGAUCCUCAGGACUCU
rnacentral:lncRNA from 1 species